CCGGGCACCUUCUCAGCGGGGGGCACCCAGGCAGCCUGCACGCCCUGGACCAAGAAAAUUCUCCUCUUCUCAGGAAUUGCUGCCUGUCCCCAACCUGCCAGGGCCAGGGGACCCGGCAGAGAGGAACAGGCGUCGGGACCUGCAGGCCUCCCGGGUCCAGCCAGACGUCCCCACGGAGCCCGUGGAGGAGACAGCAUCCCUGUUCCCUCAGAGGGACCGCCACCUGACACAGGGCUGCGGGAUGCAGGCGCCUGAGCCAUCUCCGUGAGGCUACGGGCAGCGGCCCGGCCCC